rnacentral:rRNA from 1 species
GAUGAACGCUGGCGGCGUGCCUAAUACAUGCAAGUCGAGCGAACAGACGAGGAGCUUGCUCCUCUGACGUUAGCGGCGGACGGGUGAGUAACACGUGGAUAACCUACCUAUAAGACUGGGAUAACUUCGGGAAACCGGAGCUAAUACCGGAUAAUAUAUUGAACCGCAUGGUUCAAUAGUGAAAGACGGUUUUGCUGUCACUUAUAGAUGGAUCCGCGCCGCCUUAGCUAGUUGGUAAGGUAACGGCUUACCAAGGCAACGAUGCGUAGCCGACCUGAGAGGGUGAUCGGCCACACUGGAACUGAGACACGGUCCAGACUCCUACGGGAGGCAGCAGUAGGGAAUCUUCCGCAAUGGGCGAAAGCCUGACGGAGCAACGCCGCGUGAGUGAUGAAGGUCUUCGGAUCGUAAAACUCUGUUAUUAGGGAAGAACAACUGUGUAAGUAACUAUGCACGUCUUGACGGUACCUAAUCAGAAAGCCACGGCUAACUACGUG